rnacentral:rRNA from 1 species
CAACAGGGAUUGCCCCAGUAACGGCGAGUGAAGCGGCAACAGCUCAAAUUUGAAAUCUGGCCCUCGCGGUCCGAGUUGUAAUUUGUAGAGGAUGCUUUUGGUGCGGUGCCUUCCGAGUUCCCUGGAACGGGACGCCAUAGAGGGUGAGAGCCCCGUCUGGUUGGAUGCCAAACCUCUGUAAAGCUCCUUCGACGAGUCGAGUAGUUUGGGAAUGCUGCUCAAAAUGGGAGGUAUAUGUCUUCUAAAGCUAAAUACCGGCCAGAGACCGAUAGCGCACAAGUAGAGUGAUCGAAAGAUGAAAAGCACUUUGAAAAGAGGGUUAAAUAGUACGUGAAAUUGUUGAAAGGGAAGCGUUUGUGACCAGACUUGGGCUCGGUGAAUCAUCCGGCGUUCUCGCCGGUGCACUUCGCCGGUCCAGGCCAGCAUCGGUUCGCUCGCGGGGGAUAAAGGCGUCGGGAAUGUGGCUCCUCGGAGUGUUAUAGCCCUUCGCACAAUACCCUGCGGUGGACCGAGGUUCGCGCAUCUGCAAGGAUGCUGGCGUAAUGGUCAUCAACGACCCGUCUUGAAACACGGACCAAGGAGUCGUCUUCGUAUGCGAGUGUUCGGGUGUCAAACCCCUACGCGUAAUGAAAGUGAACGGAGGUGAGAGCUACGGCGCAUCAUCGACCGAUCCUGAUGUUCUCGGAUGGAUUUGAGUAAGAGCAUACGGGGCCGGACCCGAAAGAAGGUGAACUAUGCCUGUAUAGGGUGAAGCCAGAGGAAACUCUGGUGGAGGCUCGCAGCGGUUCUGACGUGCAAAUCGAUCGUCAAAUAUGGGCAUGGGGGCGAAAGACUAAUCGAACCUUCUAGUAGCUGGUUUCCGC